GCAUGUGGUUAAUUCGAAGCAACGCGAAGAACCUUACCAGGCCUUGACAUGCAGAGAACUUCCAGAGAUGGAUUGGUGCCUUCGGGAACUCUGACACAGGUGCUGCAUGGCUGUCGUCAGCUCGUGUCGUGAGAUGUUGGGUUAAGUCCCGUAACGAGCGCAACCCUUGUCCUUAGUUACCAGCACGUUAUGGUGGGCACUCUAAGGAGACUGCCGGUGACAAACCGGAGGAAGGUGGGGGAUGACGUCAAGUCAUCAUGGCCCUUACGGCCUGGGCUACACACGUGCUACAAUGGUCGGUACAAAGGGUUGCCAAGCCGCGAGGUGGAGCUAAUCCCAUAAAACCGAUCGUAGUCCGGAUCGCAGUCUGCAACUCGACUGCGUGAAGUCGGAAUCGCUAGUAAUCGUGAAUCAGAAUGUCACGGUGAAUACGUUCCCGGGCCUU
rnacentral:rRNA from 1 species